UACAAAGUGACAUUUGCUAAUCUAAUGA
rnacentral:piRNA from 1 species